rnacentral:rRNA from 1 species
UGAUAGUACUACUACUGAUACCCGUGUAUCUAGAGCUAUACAUGCAAAAACCCGACUCGGAGGGGUGUAUUAUUAGAUAAAAACAUGCCUCGGGCUCUUGUGAUCAUGAUAACUUAACGGAUCGCAUGCCUUGCGCCGCGACGGUUCAUUCAAAUUUCUGCCCUAUCAACUUUCGAUGGUAAGGUAUUGGCUUACCAUGGUUUCAACGGGUAACGGAUUUUUAGGGAAAGAUCCCGGAGAGGGAGCUGAGAGACGGCUACCACAUCCAAGGAAGGCAGCAGGCGCGCAAAUUACCCAAUCCCGACACGGGGAGGUAGUGACAAUAAAUACUGAUACAGGGCUCUUUUGGGUCUUGUAAUCGGAAUGAGUACAAUUUAAAUACCUUAACGAGGAACAAUUGGAGGGCAAGUCUGGUGCCAGCAGCCGCGGUAAUUCCAGCUCCAAUAGCGUAUAUUAAAGUUGUUGCAGUUAAAAAGCUCGUAGUUGAACCUUGGGCCUGGCUGGCCGGUCCGCCUCACCGCGUGUACUGGUCCGGCCGGGCCUUUCCUUCUGGAGAACCGCAUGCCCUUUACUGGGUGUGCCGGGGAACCAGGACUUUUACUUUGAGAAAAUUAGAGUGUUCAAAGCAGGCCUUUGCUCGAAUACGUUAGCAUGGAAUAAUAGAAUAGGACGUACGGUUCUAUUUUGUUGGUUUCUAGAACCGCCGUAAUGAUUAAUAGGGAUAGUCGGGGGCGUCAGUAUUCAAUUGUCAGAGGUGAAAUUCUUGGAUCUAUUGAAGACUAACUACUGCGAAAGCAUUCGCCAAGGAUGUUUUCAUUAAUCAGUGAACGAAAGUUAGGGGAUCGAAGACGAUCAGAUACCGUCGUAGUCUUAACCGUAAACUAUGCCGACUAGGGAUCGGGCGAUGUUUCUAUCUUGACUCGCUCGGCACCUUACGAGAAAUCAUAAGUUU